UAACUGAAGAGUUUGAUCAUGGCUCAGAUUGAACGCUGGCGGCAGGCUUAACACAUGCAAGUCGAGCGGGGGAAGGUAGCUUGCUACUGGACCUAGCGGCGGACGGGUGAGUAAUGCUUAGGAAUCUGCCUAUUAGUGGGGGACAACAUCUCGAAAGGGAUGCUAAUACCGCAUACGUCCUACGGGAGAAAGCAGGGGAUCUUCGGACCUUGCGCUAAUAGAUGAGCCUAAGUCGGAUUAGCUAGUUGGUGGGGUAAAGGCCUACCAAGGCGACGAUCUGUAGCGGGUCUGAGAGGAUGAUCCGCCACACUGGGACUGAGACACGGCCCAGACUCCUACGGGAGGCAGCAGUGGGGAAUAUUGGACAAUGGGGGGAACCCUGAUCCAGCCAUGCCGCGUGUGUGAAGAAGGCCUUAUGGUUGUAAAGCACUUUAAGCGAGGAGGAGGCUACUUUAGUUAAUACCUAGAGAUAGUGGACGUUACUCGCAGAAUAAGCACCGGCUAACUCUGUGCCAGCAGCCGCGGUAAUACAGAGGGUGCGAGCGUUAAUCGGAUUUAC
rnacentral:rRNA from 1 species